GUCUGAGGUCUGAGUUUUCGGGGUCUGAGUUUUCGUAACACCACAAAGAGACGAGCAAACUAUAUGAUUUGAAUGAUAUCUGUAUGGUUCUCAACAGCGCCAAUGGACUGGAAAGUUUGCAGAGCCAUAUUUACUCGCACAAAUGAUGGGAGCGAUUGGCAGGCUAAUUCAUUUUUCUAUGCCUCCUCUUAUCUUCACAUAACGUCACCCGGUAGAACUGCCAAAUGGAGCAGAAGAGUUUUUAAAUUUCUGGAGACUGACAACCUCUGGAGCUUGGGAGAAUAAACCGAAAACAGUUUCCGGAAGCCCAUUGUUUUAUUUAAUUUUUAACCGGAAUGGAAAUUGCCCGAAUGUCGCCUGUGUUUUUUUUUUUUUUUUUUCAAAUGCAGAUAAAUCUAUUUUAAUGACACCCCUUUCUCAUGAUGAUAAGAUCACUACAAUUGAAUCUACGACGUAAGCAUAUAUAUUUCCAUGUUCCCCCCUACCCAAAUGUUUUUCUAGAUCUCAGCUUGUAAUGGAAAUUUUCAAUCGUAGUUGCUAGAUUGUUAAGGAGUAAAAUAAAAACUCUCUAUCGUGCAUUUCGUCUAGUAGGAAAACUCAUGUCGUAUGACUGUGUACCUAGAUUUGUUGCAUAAUUCCACCGGCUCUGUUAUAAAACAUUUUGUUUAUGCUUUUAGCUGUGCACUGUCGAGUUAUGGAACA